rnacentral:antisense_RNA from 1 species
AUCCACCCAAGACCCGGUUCCUCGAUUCCCAUCGUUACGACCGAGGAGAAAAGAGAGUAAAUUUUCCUAUUAUAGCCUUCUCUCGCACCUUCCCCGCUUCCCACCAGCCGUCUCCACUGUCCUCACCGUCCCCAUCCUCAUCCAUGGCGAAAUCUUCGCCCCCAGCCUCGUGAAGAUCUAGCACGUCCGCCAUCUCGCCUUCGAUCGAGAUCUCGUCUGUGCCGCUCAGACACUAGGUACCUCGGGAAACUGUCGCAGAGGGGAAAGGUCGCCAGUCAAGCUGACCAAUCAAAGGUUAACUCUAAAUCCCUCCCUCUGCACGGUAAAAACACGCAAAUUGGGGCGGGCCUAGUGAGGAAAGAUACCGGAAGUGUUUCUGUGGCCAUCUUGAGCAGGUCGCAAGCUAAAUCCUGCCAUCUUAGGAGAGAUGGAGUUUCACCAUGCUGCCCAGGCUGGUCUCCAACUCCUGAGCUCAAGUGAUCUGCCCGCCUCAGCCCCCCAAAGUGCUAGGAUUACAGGCGUGAGCCACCACACCUGGCCUAGAACCAUAAUUUCAAUAACAAUGAAUUUAGUUAUUUAUUUUUUGAGACAGAAUUUUGCUCUUGUCACCCAAGCUGGAAUGCAAUAGCACAAUCUCGGCUCACUGCAACCUCCGCCUCCUGGUUCAAAUGCUGUUGACUGGGGCAAAGAAUAAUGGGAGAAAAACAGCUGGGUCCUAAAUAACAGAGGGAAACCAACUUUCAAUAAAGUAUUCAACAACUAA